rnacentral:rRNA from 1 species
UACGUAGGGUGCAAGCGUUGUCCGGAAUUAUUGGGCGUAAAGAGCUUGUAGGCGGUUUGUCGCGUCUGCUGUGAAAUUUCGGGGCUCAACCCCGAACUUGCAGUGGGUACGGGCAGACUAGAGUGUGGUAGGGGAGACUGGAAUUCCUGGUGUAGCGGUGAACUGCGCAGAUAUCAGGAGGAACACCGAUGGCGAAGGCAGGUCUCUGGGCCAUAACUGACGCUGAGAAGCGAAAGCAUGGGGAGCGAACAGG